rnacentral:lncRNA from 1 species
CUGGAACAAAGUUGCUGCUCGUCUAUCCGGUUUUCUUUUUCGUUUUCCGCCUUCUUCACGCGUUCAAUCAAUCACCAGAACUUGUUUUUUUGUUUCACAUCCCGCUGAAAACCGAGCUCGUCUACUAGAUCCACGUCACCGAGAAUUCGCCGCCCAAGACGCCCGUCGCCUGGAUCAAGGCCAUUGACGGCGAUCGCAAUUCCAAGCUGACCUACCAGCUCAAAGUUGGAAAUCCGCAGUUUCUCUUCGACAUUGAUUCCAACACCGGUACGCGCAAUUUCUCUUUAAAUAUGAAUCUUCUAAGGAUAGAUCAGGAGACUGAUGCAAAUAUGAAAUGUGUUGCCUUUUGGAGUAGCCUCACAUUUCCAGUCCUCUUCACCGACCUCUGAAGAGCGAACAAGACAGGGAGAGAAAAAGCUUUUUUGGCUGCCUGGAUUACAUUUGCUACCUUUGAAGCAAUGACCAUGCACUGAAAGAACCGCAGAUGUGCCGCACAAAAUUGGCUCCAUAUAAUUUUGCACUUAUGCAGAUCUACAUUCAUCAACUUAACAGCUUCAGUGAAGGACUGAAAAAGCUGGACCCACAAUUUCACUGAGUCAUUGUAAGAUUUAAUGAACUUGGGCGAUAAGUCAACUCUCUCAUCUACCCUAAACUCGACGUCUUUCAACGGCAGCUGACGAACAACGUACAUUCCUCGAUGCUUCAUCUCCAUGGCUACCAUUUCCAUGGCUCCAAAUCCUCUUUUCUCAACAGCCCCAAUAAAAUCGGUAAAAUCUGCAUUAAAACAGAAUAAAGUAAUAAAAAUAUAUCGUUCCUCUCUUAAUUGAAAAUUUCUUACCAUUGAAUGGAGUACCCUCACCCCAUAGUCCCAAUUGGACCAUAUACCCUAGGUUGCGUGGUUCCAAGGCUCCAGUUGCAGACACAUAUAUUAAAGAUCCUGGCCUUUGGUAACUUUUUUUGCAGUUCCAGAACUGUCAAACCAGUUUUGCUGGGCUCCAUGGAGCCGAGAUUCUUUGCUUGAUGACAUUCAUCAAAGACUAUGACACCGUCAAAGUCUUGAUGGCACCAUUUUAGGAUCUAACCCAUUCUUGUUUGGUAUUCUCCACGGGAAUGUGACUAUGCAAUUAAGCAAGCGUAAGUCGAGAAAAUGAUGCCGUUCUUGAUUCUGCCAUUAGCACUCCCCGAUAUUCUGUGACCGUAUCUCAUAUCCUUCAAGCGGCAUGAACAGGAAUUUCUUUGCCGGCUCCAAUGUCUUGAAUAUCUUCUUUCUCUGCGAAGUUUAGGUCAUUGGAUACAGGUAUCCAGAUGGCCCUUUUCUUCCCUAUUCGAAAAUUUUCGAAAAUAAAUCCUGCGAUCAUUCGCCUGUAUUGCCAAAAUGGAAAUGAUAUGGAAGGUGCUAACUCCUGACCAGGCUUCUCAACAGGCAACCCGCGGCAACCAAUUCCUCAGCAGUAUCCACCUCUACUUUAUCAUCUUGAGCAUUAAGUCAAUCAAUAUCAAUGGACGGCUCUUCAUUAACACCUUCUCGUUCCUUUUCUUUCUUGAAUUACAAUUUUUUAAAUCAAGAUGAUUCGUCGGCUUUAUUGGUUGAAAGAUUCACCUCUUUGGACUUCAAAUAUCUUUGGUCUUUUUUUAACUCCUUUUUCUUUUCAUUUUUAACAAGCGAUAUUCGACUCAAAGGUUCCAAAAAAACCCCUUUUUUCCAGAGGUAAUUUUUGGAAAGGAAUCAUAAAAGGGACUGGGAAAAUCCGGAAUACGUCUAUCCUGUUCAGAACCACAAGGCGAUUCUAAUGGAACAAAGUCAAUCAUUUUAUCUUUUUUUCUGUCUCCUUUGUAUAAAACCAUUUCUGUUUCGAUAUACAAGCCCCGAAGACACACUUCACAUUUAACUCCCACAGUCCUUAUUUCCACUUCUAUUUUUAAAGAAGAAAAAGACGUAGCAUUAACGGCUAACUCAACCAAAGUUUUCCCACCUUUAUUUUGAUGUGAAUAACUUUGCUACACUGAGAAAAUAGAAAACGAGAUAUUAAAAAGAAACAAGUGAGCUCAGACUUAAGAACCUUAUCACAGAAUUCCAACCAUAAGUUCCCCCACCAUACUAAUACACCAUGCCAUAAGCGGGCUAUGAUAAUUUCAGGCAUGUUGUCCCUAAUCGAGAUUUUCGACCUUUUCCAGACCUGGCAACUCAGCAUCCUUUCGUGGUCUAUUUCUGGAUUUACCGUUUAGUUUUCGGUCAACCGCUAUUAACCGGUUGGUUAGUGGUUAACCGGUGUAACCACUCAUUAACCAUGGUUAACCAUUUACGAUUUGGAAAAUAUACCGGUUAAUCUGUUAGCCAAGAAAUAGAAAUGCACACCUCUACGCCGCGCUGCGCCCACCAAAAGCCCUUUUAGAAUUGGCGGGGCUUACAUAAACUUUAAUAAUUAACUGCACAUGUAAAUACUAACUUCGGAAAUAAAAGAAAUGGAAGGCUGAAAUCAGCGUGAAAAUCUCUAUCUAUUAGAAUUUUUUUUUUACUUUUUUUUACUUUUUUUAAGUUAGGCCUACUGAUAAAUUCCGCCACCACAGGCUUGACCACAAGAGCUCUCUCAAUAACGCCUAAUGCUGAAGGGGAGUGGGAAUAAAUCAAACAAGAAAUUAUUUUUUUUCUUUCAGAAUCUGACUAGAAAAAAACAUUUUUUUCCGAAUUUGUGAUACACACUUUUUGCGAAUAUACACGUACAAACCACACAGGCCACAAAUCUUUUGGGAAAAUCAACAGUCAACUUUGUAGUCAGGGAGGAGAAAAAAGUCUUCCGCCUGUAAUGAUAAUGCACACAUGCAAAUGCGCAAUUGUUGUUUCUCUUCCAUUUCAUAUAUAUAAUAUUAGACAUGAUCUGAAUCGAAAAUAACGAAAGAAGAAUAAGAGACAAGUGUGUAAACAAUUUUAGAACUCAAAGCUUGGUCUAUGAUUAAUGAGGGAACACUCCUGUAAUGUGUAGAGAGGUUUCUGUGUGCACAUGUAAAGAGACAUAUAAACAGCCUCACAUUAUUGGGUAACAUGAAAUGGACAUAAUUUUAAUCUGUUCAUGUUUGCGAGGGAGUUACAGGGAACAAGAAUC